GUCAGGAAGGUCCAUGGGAACAACCCUAGCUCCUGACUUCUCCUGAACACCUGUGGAGUUUUGGCCCUGAGGGAAACAGGUUCCCUAUCUGCCCCAUGCUCAUGCUGAUGACUGCUGGUAUUUCUGCAGCGCGCUCACCCCGUGCCCGGCCAGCUCUCCGAGGAUGAGGGAGGCAGGAGGACAGGAGUUAGCUCCUCCAGCCAGGCCUGAUGUCACACUCCUGGCUUCUGAGAACUGCCAGAGAGCACUGCAGGUAUUUGGCGUUGGAGGUGCUCAGGCUUCACACCAUCCAUCCCAGCCCCCAAGAAAAGGGGUCACCAUGAGGCGGGGGACGGCUGGAACACCCCUCCCCACAGAGAAAAUGGCAGAGAGAUUCCAGCCUGGGACCAGACACCUUUCCCCACGAGCCAUCCAGGUGCUCCAUGGGCUGGAGCCACAUCAGACACGAAGGAACAUCUUCAUGUUUUUGGCUGAGAACAACCGACGGCGGCAGGAGCAGCAGAGGCAGUUCUUC
rnacentral:lncRNA from 1 species